UUUUUGGGAUCCCUCUGGAAGCCGCUUUGCUCCCCCAGCCGGGGCUGCCCCGGGAGAGGCCGGAUCCGGGGGGGUUCAGGAAUUCCCGAAUUCUUGGGAAUCUCGGGAAUUUUUUGGGAAGAAGCGAAGGUUCCCGAGGCCCUUCCCGGGCUCGGGGUUUGUGGGACGCCCUCGGGACGAUCCCGGGGAUUUGGCAGCAGGAAAACAGGGAAUGGCUCAUCCCGGGAGCUGAGUCAUGGAACCAGGGCGGCGCCCGGGCGGAAAAUUCGGGAUGAGGGAGCCGGGUUUGUCUUCCCAGAGCUGCUGGAGCUCCCAGGAAUCCCAUUGUCCAUCCUUUUCCAUGGAUUCAUCACCCCAGAAUUCCAGCUUUGCCUCCCCAACGGCGCUGAGUUCCCAGGAUUCCCAUUAUUUCCCAUCCAGGGUUCCCAUUAUUUCCCAUCCAGGAUUCCCAUUAUUUCCCACCCAGGAUUCCCAUUAUUUCCCACCCAGGAUUCCCAUUAUUUCCCACCCAGGAUUCCCAUUUUUUCCCACCCAGGAAUUCCAUUUUUUCCCGUCCCUUUUCCUGGAGCCGAGUGUGGGCAAAGGGGGGUGAGGAGAAGGAAUCCAUGGAUUCGUCACCCCGGAAUUCCAGCGCUCCCGACGCUCCUGGGUGGCUCCAGGAAUCCCGAAGCCAAGCGUGGCCCAAAUCCCGGGAGCGGCCGGACCGGUUCCGGAGCCUCUCCGGGAGCUGGGAAUGAUCCCAGGCCGGAUCCCGAAUCCAGGCCUCAGCCCAGAGCCGGCCCUGGGAAAUGGGAAUUCGGGAAUUUUCCCGGAGGAAGCGCUCUGGGAUUCCAGGAUGGGAUCGGGACCUCCCGGAGGGGAAAAUUCGGGAAUGAGGGAUUGAUCCGAGUGUCCUUCUCCUCGCCCCGCUGGGAUGGGGCUGGAAUUCCCGAGCCCGGGAUUCCUGCAGGAAUUCCCGGGAUUGGCCUGGAGGGUCCUGGGGAGGGAAAAGGGAACAGGGAAAGGGAUGGAAUCCCUGGAGGCAGCGGAAUUCCAGGGAAGCGAGGCCGGAGGAGUCCCUGGAGAUCCUGGAAUGGGUCGGGAUUCCUGGAAAAUCCCGGGGAGAUCCCGAGACGGGGAUAA
rnacentral:lncRNA from 1 species